rnacentral:lncRNA from 1 species
AGUUAGAAGUGGCAGGAAAAUUUUGGAACUAAAAAUUAUACCCACCAUCCCUCCCUGGAUAGCUAAUUCGGAUUUUGUCAUUAUGUUUGAACCAAUUUAAAUUGAAAUAUUUUAAUUUUGUUUAAUAAUGAAUAUUGUGUAUUCAUGUUUUAUUUGGUUAAACAAUAUGUCAGUGUUUAUAUUCGAAUGUAACACCAUCUCUGAUGGGCGAAUGUAACCCCAUCUUUGAUGGGAUGGGUCAAUAAGGUUUUGUCAUUAUAACCAUAUAAUAUGUUGUUUAUAAAUAAGAUUUAUUGAUUUCAUUAUACAUGUUUUUCAUUGUGUUGCUUCUUCGUCAUUUUAAUAAUAAAUGACAGUUUUCAAUUCUUAAAUAUUUGUUUGUUUGUCAUUCUUUCAUCCCAUCAAACAGAGCAAGCCUAUGUUGACAAAAAUGAUCCUUAGUGUAAUAUCACUUUAGUGAGUUUCAUAAUUAAACAAAAUAUACAAACGCACAAAAAAAUUCUAUAAC